AAGCAGUGGUGUGAACGUAUAGUACAUGGGGGACAUCUGAAUUAGUUCGUUUAGCAUUCAGUGCUCGUCAUUAUGGACUUUCUACUAUUGUGGUUACACAGCAAUUGACAAGUAUUGCCAAACCUUAUCGUGAAAAUAUAAGUUAUUUAGUUGCAUUUUAUAAUACAAACCGCAAUAAUAUGAAAACAAUAUUUGAUGAUUAU